rnacentral:lncRNA from 1 species
AUGACUUUUUCCACAACUACUAAACAUCUUUAAAUAGCGGCAAAUUGUAUAUAACAUAAAAUUUACCAUUUGAACCACUCAGUGUACAGUUCAGUGGCAUUCACAUUGCAACAUCAGCACCUUCCAUCUCCAGAACUUCUUCAUCAUCCCAUAGACACUAACUCCUCUUCUCCCCUUCCCCACAAACCCUGGCACCCACCAUUCUGCUUUCUGUCUCCAUAGAAUCUAACUGCUCUAGGAACCUCCUAUGAGUGGAAUCAUACCAUAUUUAUUUUUUUUACCCCAUCAUUUUUAAAGCUCUCUAAGGAUAAGGACCAAGUCUCUAAUUUAUUUUCAUUGUAAAUGUAAUGUUUACUUGCUCAUUUAUGUAAAUGCUAUAGUGCUAGGUAGAGGGUUGGGCGACACUGGAGAAACGUAUGUGGUCUCCGUGGCUGACAGGGUAGUGGUGGGGACCGGGGCUGGGAGAACAAGGGAAACACAGAGAAUGGACAGAGUACGAGAAGGGUGCUGAGUGUGGUGACAGAACCACGGGGCGCCUUCUGGAAAACCUCAGUGCUGUAGGAUAAAUGGGGGAGUGGUCCUGGAGGAAGAUGAUGGAAGGAAUAUUCAGCAAGGAAGGAAUAUUCAUCUGUGCCAUGAAUGCCUUUGCACAUGAAGAGGAAAAGCGACCACUGAUCAAUUCAUAGUGAUACCAUUGAUAGCAGAGGUUCUGGGCUAGGGGAAUACCCACAGAGGUACUGAGGAAGUAGGUAACCUGGGAAGGGUGACAAUACCCCUGGGGGCUAUCGCUUGAACCCGGUCACAUGGAAAGAACCUCAACUCACCCUCUUAACCUUUUCUGUCUGAGUGCCUUACAGUGUCACUGCUGGCUGUGAAGAGUGACCAUUAAGAAUAAUCCCUUCCUUUAGAAAAGGAGAGCAGGUUCAAGAUUAUUCUUGUGAAACUCAGUGUCACUCACGUUGUCGUAGGCUUCCUUGAGUGGGCUAGAAAGGGGUGGAGUGACAGCUGGCACACUGGGAAUCAACCACAUGCGACAUCACUGGGAAUUUCGUGGCAGCAAAAAGUUCAGCUUGGUGCAUUGGUGACUCAAAGCUGCGGUCAAGUGUAAGUUACUAAGGAGACUUGCUUUGAGGGUUUUUUUUUUGGAAGCUUGCAGGGACUUCUUUUGAGAAAAACGCUUUCUAGUGGAAUUAG